GAGACAUCAGAACUCAGAAGAAUACCUUUCCUCCUCUCCUUCUUUCAAUGUCCGUCUCUCUCGCCCAGAAAGCCCUCUUCAUCUCUUGUUGUUCCUGUUCUCUAUCACUAAGGAUGCCAUUUUCCCUCUCUUAUCCUUCAUUUUUCCGAUCGACAAUAGCAAAAACCAAAGAUAUGGUAUGAAAUUUGGAGACUUUCUCCAUCGUCGUCAUGCUAUUUUAUUACCUCCGCCAUUCUCAUGCUUUUUUCUAAGUUUUUUCC